AUUGUUUUUGAGGGUGGUGGUCAUCAUCAUUAUUGUUUGUUAUAAACUUGGAGAGACGCAGAACCCAAGCUUUCAAGACUGAUUUUUAACGGUGCGGAACACUGACCCCAACACAAAAGGGACUGAUUUCCUUUAUUUAUUUAUGAGAAAUGACAGAGGAGGUGCAUGGAUAUUUGCUCAUUAUGUAGAAUAUAAUUAGUCUAAAUCAUCUAGGUUUUAUACCUAUAUAGGCCUCUGAUUACCCACUCCAAUAUCUAACAAGGGAUGUCAUCAUGAAUUCUACUUGCCUUGCUGGU